GGGGAAUAUUGCACAGUGGGCGAAAGCCCGAUGCAGCGACGCCGCGUGAGGGAUGAAGGCCUUCGGGUUGUAAACCUCUUUCAGUAGGGAAGAAGCGCAAGUGACGGUACCUACAGAAGAAGCACCGGCUAACUACGUGCCAGCAGCCGCGGUAAUACGUAGGGUGCGAGCGUUGUCCGGAAUUAUUGGGCGUAAAGAGCUUGUAGGCGGUUUGUCGCGUCUGCCGUGAGAAUCCGGGGCUCAACUCCGGACUUGCGGUGGGUACGGGCAGACUAGAGUGUGGUAGGGGAGACUGGAAUUCCUGGUGUAGCGGUGAAAUGCGCAGAUAUCAGGAGGAACACCGAUGGCGAAGGCAGGUCUCUGGGCCACUACUGACGCUGAGAAGCGAAAGCGUGGGGAGCGAAC
rnacentral:rRNA from 1 species